UCCCAGACUCCUACGGGAGGCAGCAGUGAGGAAUAUUGGUCAAUGGGCGAGAGCCUGAACCAGCCAAGUCGCGUGAGGGAGUACUGCCCUAUGGGUUGUAAACCUCUUUUGUCGGGGAGCAAAAGCCGGACGUGUCCGGCUGUGAGAGUACCCGAAGAAAAAGCAUCGGCUAACUCCGUGCCAGCAGCCGCGGUAAUACGUAGGUGGCAAGCGUUGUCCGGAUUUACUGGGUGUAAAGGGCGUGUAGCCGGGAAGGCAAGUCAGAUGUGAAAUCCGGAGGCUCAACCUCCGAAUUGCAUUUGAAACUGUUUUUCUUGAGUACUGGAGAGGCAGACGGAAUUCCUUGUGUAGCGGUGAAAUGCGUAGAUAUAAGGAGGAACACCAUUGGCGAAGGCGGUCUGCUGGACAGCAACUGACGGUGAGGCGCGAAAGCGUGGGGAGCAAACAGGAUUAGAUACCCCCGUA
rnacentral:rRNA from 1 species